GAUGAACGCUGGCGGCGUACUUAACACAUGCAAGUCGAACGAUGAAGCCCAGCUUGCUGGGUGGAUUAGUGGCGAACGGGUGAGUAACACGUGAGUAACCUGCCCUUAACUCUGGGAUAAGCCUGGGAAACUGGGUCUAAUACCGGAUAGGAGCGUCCACCGCAUGGUGGGUGUUGGAAAGAUUUAUCGGUUUUGGAUGGACUCGCGGCCUAUCAGCUUGUUGGUGAGGUAAUGGCUCACCAAGGCGACGACGGGUAGCCGGCCUGAGAGGGUGACCGGCCACACUGGGACUGAGACACGGCCCAGACUCCUACGGGAGGCAGCAGUGGGGAAUAUUGCACAAUGGGCGCAAGCCUGAUGCAGCGACGCCGCGUGAGGGAUGACGGCCUUCGGGUUGUAAACCUCUUUCAGUAGGGAAGAAGCGAAAGUGACGGUACCUGCAGAAGAAGCACCGGCUAACUACGUG
rnacentral:rRNA from 1 species